rnacentral:rRNA from 1 species
UUGAGGGGUUAAGGCUCCCAGUAGACGACUGGGUUGAUAGGCCAGAUCUGGAAGCCCGGUAACGGGUGGAGGUGACUGGUACUAAUAGGCCGAGGGCUUGUCCUCAGUUG